rnacentral:rRNA from 1 species
GAUGAACGCUAGCGACAGGCCUAACACAUGCAAGUCGAGGGGCAGCACAUGAGUAGCAAUACGAUGGUGGCGACCGGCGCACGGGUGAGUAACACGUAUGCAACCUGCCUGUAAGAGGGGAGUAACCCGGAGAAAUUCGGACUAAUACCGCAUAAUACCACGAGACUGCAUGGUUUUGUGGUUAAACAUUUAUGGCUUACAGAUGGGCAUGCGUAUGAUUAGAUAGUUGGUAGGGUAACGGCCUACCAAGUCUACGAUCAUUAGGGGUUCUGAGAGGAAGGUCCCCCAACUGGUACUGAGACACGGACCAGACUCCUACGGGAGGCAGCAGUGAGGAAUAUUGGUCAAUGGGCGAGAGCCUGAACCAGCCAAGUCGCGUGAAGGAGAAGGUUCUAUGGAUUGUAAACUUCUUUUGCAGGGGAAUAAAGGACGGUACGUGUACUGUUUUGUAUGUACCUUGCGAAUAAGGAUCGGCUAACUCCGUGCCAGCAGCCGAC